GAUGAACGCUGGCGGCGUGCCUAACACAUGCAAGUCGAACGGAAAGACCAGGAGUUCGUUCUUGUUUGGGUGGCGGCGGGCGGGUGAGUGACGAGUAAAUCGCGAGCGAAUUAGACUCGGCUAAGUUAGGAGAAACGGAGACUAUAUCGGAUAAUAUAUUGAACCGCAGGGUGCAGUAGUGAAUGGAAAAUUUGCUGCUAGUUAUAGAUGAUGACGCGCCGGAUUAGCUACUUGGUAAGGGAACGGCUUACCAAGGAGACGGUGCGUAGCGGACCGGAGAGGGUGAUCGGCCACACUGGAACUGAGACACGGUCCAGACUCCUACGGGAGGCAGCAGUAGGGAAUGUUCCGCAAUGGGCGAAAGCCUGAGGCAGCAACACCGCGUGAGUGAGGAAGGUCUCCGGAUUGGAAAACUCUGUUAUUAGGGAAGAAGAGAAGUCUAAGUAGUUGGGCGCGUCGUGACGGUACCUAAAGAAAAAGCCCCGGCUAACUACGUG
rnacentral:rRNA from 1 species